GCUUUUGCUAGAAAAAUUAUAAAAACUUUAGAAUUAUUUACUAUUACCUUCAAAUUAAUGCACGUUUCGAACAUACUUUUUUAGUUUCACUAGCGACAAUUGGGGGUUUCAUAAAAAACAAGAGCGAUGAGUCAUAAGAUCGACAUUUAUAAAAGCUAAAUUUAAAAAAAAAUCGUAUUCGAUUAAGAAACUAAACAUGUUGUUCUGUUUUCUCAGGGGAAAAGAUGAAAUUAAAAUAAAAGUUUAAUGAGUAUUUUUAUAUAUAAAGUCAAAUAUUAAUGGACGAUUAAUGGACGAUUACUAUAAGACUUCUGUAUUACCGACUAAGAUGCUUUGUAUAGUUUCUGCCGUGUAGAAAUCCUGUUAAGAGCAGUGCAUGGCAUUUUAGCGGACGUUUUUAAUUGUUUGUGUUUUUGGUUGUGUUUUCUGUAUUUGCAUUGAUAGUUGUUUUAUAUCCAUACAAUGUUCUAUUACAUCUGUAAAAUAUGGUUAGUUAAAUACAACUGUAUUCUCCGAC
rnacentral:lncRNA from 1 species